CAGCAGCCGCGGUAAUACGUAGGUGGCGAGCGUUGUCCGGAAUCAUUGGGCGUAGAGGGAGCGCAGGCGGGCAAGUAAGUCUUUCUUAAAAGUUCGGGGCUCAACCCCGUGAUGGGAAAGAAACUACAUGUCUUGAGUACAGGAGAGGAAAGCGGAAUUCCCAGUGUAGCGGUGAAAUGCGUAGAUAUUGGGAGGAACACCAGUGGCGAAGGCGGCUUUCUGGACUGCAACUGACGCUGAGGCUCGAAAGCCAGGGGAGCGAACGGGAUUAGAUACCCGAGUAGUCCCUGUCUCUUAUACA
rnacentral:rRNA from 1 species